rnacentral:rRNA from 1 species
UACGUAGGGUGCGAGCGUUGUCCGGAAUUAUUGGGCGUAAAGAGCUCGUAGGUGGCGUGUCGCGUCUGCCGUGAAAGCCCAUGGCUUAACUGUGGGUCUGCGGUGGAUACGGGCAGGCUGGAGGCCGGUAGGGGCAAGCGGAAUUCCUGGUGUAGCGGUGAAAUGCGCAGAUAUCAGGAGGAACACCGGUGGCGAAGGCGGCUUGCUGGGCCAGUUCUGACGCUGAGGAGCGAAAGCGUGGGGAGCGAACAGG